rnacentral:rRNA from 1 species
CGGACGGGUGAGUAAUGCUUGGGAAUCUGGCUUAUGGAGGGGGAUAACUACGGGAAACUGUAGCUAAUACCGCGUAGUAUCGGAAUAUGAAAGUGCGGGACCGUAAGGCCGCAUGCCAUGAGAUGAGCCCAAGUGGGAUUAGGUAGUUGGUGGGGUAAAGGCCUACCAAGCCUGCGAUCUCUAGCUGGUCUGAGAGGAUGGCCAGCCACACUGGAACUGAGACACGGUCCAG